ACGGCGGGGCGGGUCUUGCUCGGCAUUGGCUGUGGGUCACCUGAGCGCGGCGGCGGUCUGCGCGCCUCUCCCGGAGGAGCGUGUCCCGGAAGUGGGCGUCCCGGCCAGAGCGCAUCUGGCCCGGGGCAUCCUUGGGGCUCCUAGCUGUUAGCGCCACACGAGCUUGCGGGGGUCUAGGAAGCCAGCGCUCGGCGGCUGGGAAUGACCCGUCCCGUGGGUCCCAGGCACCCUAGCGGCAUCCGAGCGCGGAGCGGAGGGCUGCGGACCGCAGGAUCAACUAUGGUGCCUCAAAGAGCAGUGUUUCAUUGUUUUCCAUGGCGAAUAUUCCAUUUUGUACAUGGACCACUCCUUCUUUUUCCACUCAUCUGGUGAUGGACAUUUUGGUUACUUCCAUGUCUUGGUUACUGUGAAAAUUCCUGUAGUGCAGCUGUUGAAGCCUGUGCCUUCUCGACUCUGGACUUCUCAGGCUCAUCUGUGGUGCCUCAAAGAGCAGUAAUUCAUUGUUCUCCAUGGUGAAUAUUCCAUUGUGUACAUGUACCUCUCCUUCUUUAUCCAUUCACCUGUUGAUGGACAUUUGGGUUGCUUCACCAUCUUGGCUAUUGUGAAUAAGGCCGCAGUGCAACUGAUACAGCCUGUGUCUUCCCGAUUCUGGACUUCUCAGGUGAGAGGCCUAGCGGU